GAGUAAACCCUAGGAGGCAGCAGCAGACACACACAGAGGAGAACAGAGCAAACAGCCAAAGAUGACUUUCAAGCGUAGGAACGGUGGAAGGAACAAGC